UACGAAGGGGGCUAGCGUUGUUCGGAAUUACUGGGUGUAAAGCGCACGUAGGCUGAUUGUUAAGUCAGGGGUGAAAUCCCAGAGCUCAACUCCGGAACUGCCUUUGAUACUGGCAAUCUCGAGUCCAGAAGAGGUUAGUGGAAUUCCUAGUGUAGAGGUGAAAUUCGUAGAUAUUAGGGAGAACACCAGUGGCGAAGGCGGCUAACAGGUCCGGUACUGACGCUGAGGUGCGAAAGCGUGGGGAGCAAACAGG
rnacentral:rRNA from 1 species